AUUGAACGCUGGCGGCAGGCCUAACACAUGCAAGUCGAGCGAGCGGCGGACGGGUGAGUAAUGUAUGGGGACUGCCUGAUGGAGGGGGAUAACUACUGGAAACGGUGGCUAAUACCGCAUACUAUCGGAUAACCCAUAUGGGAUUAGCUAGUAGGUGGGGUAAAGGCUCACCUAGGCGACGAUCUCUAGCUGGUCUGAGAGGAUGAGCAGCCACACUGGGACUGAGACACGGCCCAGACUCCUACGGAGGCAGCAGUGGGGAAUAGUGCACAAUGGGCGAAAGCAUGAUGCAGCCAUGCCGCGUGGAUGAAGAAGGCCUUAGGGUUGUAAAGUACUUUCAGCUGGGAGGCGUUACCCGCAGAAGAAGCACCGGCUAACUCCGUGCCAGCAGCCGCGGUAAUUC
rnacentral:rRNA from 1 species